UUGGGUUUUUUUCUUGUCAGACUUAUUCAAGUGUGUGUCUUGUUUAACAAAAAAAGAAGUUGGGAGGCCGCCACGAAUGCAACAUUGAUGUUUACGUCUAUCUCGAUCGUCUCGAGAUAACGAGCGUCUGCAACAUGUUAGAAAACAGCUCUCUUCAAUUGUGUUUUUUUUUGUAUCAUCAUUAUUAUUAUUAUUUCGUUUUGCAUAACCCGUUGAGAAGACCAGACAACGAUAAAGCAAUCUGAGAUCAAGAGGUCAUCUGUUUCAACAGAGAUCGCUUUGAUGGAGGUUACCAAACAACACAAAUACUAUAUUGUAAAGAAUUAUUUCCAGCUUUUUCUUCGAUUCUAACUAUUUAACGUGUAUGCAAACGACCCUUGAAGAAAGAAGUAAUUUAAAUUACAUACGCCUGGAUAUUGGAGCUUAUGGUCUCGUACAUUCUCCGCACAAAUGUAAUUAAAGUCGGAGACAUAAAGAUAUGCUCAUUGUGUAUUUCGUUAGUCGUUUAAACUAAGAGUCAAAUUAAGAUACGUAUCUCUA